rnacentral:lncRNA from 1 species
CAAAAUAAACAAGACUAGAUUGCAUAAAAAUACUUAAAAUUCAUACAAAAUCUCAAAGGAGAAAAGAGAAAUUCAAAACAAGCCUCACCUUCUCUAAAACUAGGUUUUGAGUAUUUAUAUAAAAAGGGAAAACGAACCGGGUCAACCCGGAACAAACCGGGUUUUGACCUGGUUUAGAAAAGCAAUCGACUAGGCAAUCGACCACUUGGUCGAUUCGAAUCUCGUCCGUAGCUCUGAUCCAUAUCAAUCGACCGGGCAAUCGACCAGUCAAUCGACCAAGCAAUCGACCAACUGGUCGACUGCUUCCUCGACUCCUUCUCGUCCGCGUGUCUGGUUUGGUCCCAAUCGACCAGUCAAUCGACCUACUG